UACGAGGGGGGCAAGCGUUGUUCGGAAUUAUUGGGCGUAAAGGGCGCGUAGGCGGUGCGGUAAGUCCCCUGUGAAAACUCUGGGCUCAACUCAGAGCCUGCAGGCGAAACUGCCGUGCUUGAGUGUGGGAGAGGUGCGUGGAAUUCCCGGUGUAGUGGUGGAAUGCGUAGAUAUCGGGAGGAACACCAGUGGCGAAGGCGGUUGCCUGGAGCUUUGCUGACGCUGAGGCGCGAAAGCGUGGGGAGCGAUCCGG
rnacentral:rRNA from 1 species